rnacentral:rRNA from 1 species
AACGCGAAGAACCUUACCAGGACUUGACAUCCCUGUGGCCGGUCCGUAAUGGGACCUUUCCCUUCGGGGACAGAGGAGACAGGUGGUGCAUGGUUGUCGUCAGCUCGUGUCGUGAGAUGUUGGGUUAAGUCCCGUAACGAGCGCAACCCCUAUCCCUAGUUGCUAGCAGUUCGGCUGAGAACUCUAGGGAGACUGCCGGUGACAAACCGGAGGAAGGUGGGGAUGACGUCAGGUCAUCAUGGCCCUUACGGCCAGGGCUACACACGUGCUACAAUGGCGCGCACAGAGGGCUGCAAACUCGCGAGGGUAAGCCAAUCUCUUAAAACGCGUCGUAGUCCGGAUCGCAGUCUGCAACUCGACUGCGUGAAGUCGGAAUCGCUAGUAAUCGCGAAUCAGAAUG